AUCCAGCUAACGAGUCCCAAGUAGGACGAAACGCGCAUUCUGGAU
rnacentral:hammerhead_ribozyme from 1 species